UACGGGGGGGGCAAGCGUUGUUCGGAAUUACUGGGCGUAAAGGGCUCGUAGGCGGUUUGUCGCGUCUGCCGUGAAAGUCCGGGGCUCAACUCCGGAUCUGCGGUGGGUACGGGCAGACUAGAGUGAUGUAGGGGAGACUGGAAUUCCUGGUGUAGCGGUGAAAUGCGCAGAUAUUGGGAAGAACACCAGUGGCGAAGGCGGUUCUCUGGGACGGUACUGACGCUGAGACGCGAAAGCGUGGGGAGCGAACAGG
rnacentral:rRNA from 1 species